UCCCACCGGCGUAGUUGGUUG
rnacentral:piRNA from 1 species